UCCGGAUCCGUNCGACAGAGUUUGAUCGUGGCUCAGAUUGAACGCUGGCGGCAGGCCUAACACAUGCAAGUCGAACGGUAGCACAAAGGAGCUUGCUCCUUGGGUGACGAGUGGCGGACGGGUGAGUAAUGUCUGGGAAACUGCCCGAUGGAGGGGGAUAACUACUGGAAACGGUAGCUAAUACCGCAUAACGUCGCAAGACCAAAGAGGGGGACCUUCGGGCCUCUUGCCAUCGGAUGUGCCCAGAUGGGAUUAGCUAGUAGGUGGGGUAACGGCUCACCUAGGCGACGAUCCCUAGCUGGUCUGAGAGGAUGACCAGCCACACUGGAACUGAGACACGGUCCAGACUCCUACGGGAGGCAGCAGUGGGGAAUAUUGCACAAUGGGCGCAAGCCUGAUGCAGCCAUGCCGCGUGUAUGAAGAAGGCCUUCGGGUUGUAAAGUACUUUCAGCGAGGAGGAA
rnacentral:rRNA from 1 species